CUGGUUGAUUCCCCGCGGAAGUCCACUGCUAUUGGAUUCGACUAAGCCAUGGCGAGUCGAGAGGGUUCGGCCCUCGGGCUGACGGCUCAGUAACACGUGGAUAAUCUGCCCUAAGGUGGAGGAUAAUCCUCCGGGAAACUGAGAAUAAUACUCCAUAGGUCAAAGAUGCUGGAAUGCACCUUGACUCAAAACUCCGGUGCCUAAGGAUGAGUCUGCGGACUAUCAGGUUGUAGUCAGGGUAAUGACCUGACUAGCCUACGACGGAUACGGGUUGUGAGAGCAAUAACCCGGAGAUGAUAUCUGAGACACGAUAUCAGGCCCUACGGGGCGCAGCAGGCGCGAAAACUUCACAAUGUGCGAAAGCACGAUGAGGGAAUCCCAAGUGCUUGCACGUAAGUGUAAGCUGUUUCUUUGUUUAAAACGCAUUGAGAGUAAGGGCUGGGUAAGACGGGUGCCAGCCGCCGCGGUAAUACCUGCAGCUCAAGUGGUGGCCGCUAUUAUUGGGCCUAAAACGUCCGUAGCCGGUUUAUUAAAUGCCUGGGUAAAUCGUGUAGCUUAACUAUACGAAUUCCGGGUAGACUGAUAAACUUGAGAUCGGGAGAAGUUAGAGGUACUCCUGGGGUAGAGGUGAAAUUCUGUAAUCCUAGGGGGACCACCAGUGGCGAAGGCGUCUGACUAGAACGGGUCUGACGGUGAGGGACGAAGCCCUGGGGCGCAAACCGGAUUUUUUUUCUCACAGGAAAAAUUU
rnacentral:rRNA from 1 species